GACAGAGGGUGCAAACGUUGCUCGGAAUUACUGGGCGUAAAGCGCGUGUAGGCGGCUGCGCAAGUCGGAUGUGAAAUCCCGUGGCUCAACCACGGAAGUGCACCCGAAACUGCGCAGCUGGAGUCUCGGAGAGGAAGGUGGAAUGCUUGGUGUAGAGGUGAAAUUCGUAGAUAUCAAGCGGAACACCGGUGGCGAAGGCGGCCUUCUGGACGAUGACUGACGCUGAGACGCGAAAGCGUGGGGAGCAAACAGG
rnacentral:rRNA from 1 species